UCAAUAAUGCUCUGAAGAAGACAUAGGCAGGCUCUCUCUCUCUCUCUCUCUCUCUCUCUCUCUCUCUCUCUCUCUCUCGGCAUUCUUACAGCGAUGCUCCACCAAAGACUUAUAAGCAACGUGAAACUGCGAGCUAAACUAAGUCUUUCUCGUGGCAAAUCAACCGUCUCGGGUAUUAGCUAUGGAAAGGCCAACGGACACGCAGGAUCCGUUUUAUGUCUGCUAGGGGAGAAACCAAGUAAUAAAGACAUCUAAAGGGUGAUGUUGGAAGGUACGUCAUGAGCAGGAGUGGAGGCACAUGCCAAUAAUCGCAGUACCCCAGAAGCAGAAACAAGAACACAAGAUGGGGGCCACCAAUAUUUGCAGAGAGAUAAUGUGCUUGAGAGAUGGGAGAGUGCCUCGCUGAGAAAGAGAGACAUCUCCAUAAAAGAGUCAGUCGGCAGUUAGUCACUGUGACCAUCAAGAUCCCGAGGAGGAGUGCUAUCAGCGAGCUUUUUGUGGGUUCGAAAACCCAGAGACACUUGCAACAAACACAAUACUGGCCUGAAGAACAAAGUUGUCACCGUUGUGUAUAAUUUUGAACUAUGUACCAACUAUUGUUGUUAGUAUGAUAUCUGUUUCAUUUUGUUUUGUGACAGUCUGGCCUUUUGUGUUUUUCUUUGGUUUUUAAAAUAUAAAAAAAAUGAUUGUAAUGAACUUAUAAAUAAAAGUGUCAGACUGCUAGACUAAUAAAGUACUGAGAUAAA